rnacentral:rRNA from 1 species
UACGGAGGGUGCAAGCGUUAUCCGGAUUCACUGGGCGUAAAGCGCGUGUAGGCGGCUUUCUAAGUCAGGGGUGAAAUCCUGGAGCUCAACUCCAGAACUGCCUUUGAUACUGGAGAGCUUGAGUCCGGGAGAGGUGAGUGGAACUCCGAGUGUAGAGGUGAAAUUCGUAGAUAUUCGGAAGAACACCAGUGGCGAAGGCGGCUCACUGGCCCGGUACUGACGCUGAUGUGCGAAAGCGUGGGGAGCAAACAGG